ACGAACGCUGGCGGCACGCUUAACACAUGCAAGUCGAACGAGAGAAGAGGAGCUUGCUUUUCUGAUCUAGUGGCGGACGGGUGAGUAACACGUGAGCAAUCUGCCUUUCAGAGGGGGAUACCGAUUGGAAACGAUCGUUAAUACCGCAUAACAUAAUUGAACCGCAUGAUUUGAUUAUCAAAGAUUUAUCGCUGAAAGAUGAGCUCGCGUCUGAUUAGCUAGUUGGUAAGGUAACGGCUUACCAAGGCGACGAUCAGUAGCCGGACUGAGAGGUUGAUCGGCCACAUUGGGACUGAGACACGGCCCAGACUCCUACGGGAGGCAGCAGUGGGGAAUAUUGCACAAUGGAGGAAACUCUGAUGCAGCGAUGCCGCGUGAGGGAAGAAGGUUUUAGGAUUGUAAACCUCUGUCUUCAGGGACGAAAAAAGACGGUACCUGAGGAGGAAGCUCCGGCUAACUACGUGCCAGCAGCCGCGGUAAUACGUAGGGAGCGAGCGUUGUCCGGAAUUACUGGGUGUAAAGGGAGCGUAGGCGGGAUCGCAAGUCAGAUGUGAAAACUAUGGGCUUAACCCAUAAACUGCAUUUGAAACUGUGGUUCUUGAGUGAAGUAGAGGUAAGCGGAAUUCCUAGUGUAGCGGUGAAAUGCGUAGAUAUUAGGAGGAACAGCAGGGGCGAAGGCGGCUUACUGGGCUUUAACUGACGCUGAGGCUCGAAAGCGUGGGGAGCAAACAGGAUUAGAUACCCUGGUAGUCCACGCCGUAAACGAUGAUUACUAGGUGUGGGGGGACUGACCCCUUCCGUGCCGCAGCAAACGCAAUAAGUAAUCCACCUGGGGAGUACGACCGCAAGGUUGAAACUCAAAGGAAUUGACGGGGGCCCGCACAAGCAGUGGAGUAUGUGGAUUAAUUCGAAGCAACGCGAAGAACCUUACCAGGUCUUGACAUCGUAUGCAUAGCUCAGAGAUGAGUGAAAUCUCUUCGGAGACAUAUAGACAGGUGGUGCAUGGUUGUCGUCAGCUCGUGUCGUGAGAUGUUGGGUUAAGUCCCGCAACGAGCGCAACCCUUACUGUUAGUUGCUACGCAAGAGCACUCUAGCAGGACUGCCGUUGACAAAACGGAGGAAGGUGGGGAUGACGUCAAAUCAUCAUGCCCCUUAUGACCUGGGCCUCACACGUACUACAAUGGCUGUCAACAGAGGGAUGCAAAGCCGCGAGGUGGAGCGAACCCCUAAAAGCAGUCUUAGUUCGGAUUGUAGGCUGCAACCCGCCUACAUGAAGUCGGAAUUGCUAGUAAUCGCAGAUCAGCAUGCUGCGGUGAAUACGUUCCCGGGCCUUGUACACACCGCCCGUCACGCCAUGGGAGUCGGUAACACCCGAAGCCUGUAGUCUAACCGCAAGGAGGACGCAGUCGAAGGUGGGAUUGAUGACUGGGGUG
rnacentral:rRNA from 1 species